CUGCGGAAGGAUCAUUACUGAGUGCGGGCUGCCUCCGGGCGCCCAACCUCCCACCCGUGAAUACCUAACACUGUUGCUUCGGCGGGGAACCCCCUCGGGGGCGAGCCGCCGGGGACUACUGAACUUCAUGCCUGAGAGUGAUGCAGUCUGAGUCUGAAUAUAAAAUCAGUCAAAACUUUCAACAAUGGAUCUCUUGGUUCCGGCAUCGAUGAAGAACGCAGCGAACUGCGAUAAGUAAUGUGAAUUGCAGAAUUCAGUGAAUCAUCGAGUCUUUGAACGCACAUUGCGCCCCCUGGCAUUCCGGGGGGCAUGCCUGUCCGAGCGUCAUUGCUGCCCAUCAAGCCCGGCUUGUGUGUUGGGUCGUCGUCCCCCCCGGGGGACGGGCCCGAAAGGCAGCGGCGGCACCGUGUCCGGUCCUCGAGCGUAUGGGGCUUUGUCACCCGCUCGACUAGGGCCGGCCGGGCGCCAGCCGACGUCUCCAACCAUUUUUCUUCAGGUGACCUC
rnacentral:rRNA from 1 species